rnacentral:rRNA from 1 species
AUUGAACGCUGGCGGCAUGCCUUACACAUGCAAGUCGAACGGUAACGGGCCUUCGGGUGCCGACGAGUGGCGAACGGGUGAGUAAUGCAUCGGAACGUACCUUUCAGUGGGGGAUAACGUAGCGAAAGUUACGCUAAUACCGCAUAUUCUGUGAGCAGGAAAGCAGGGGAUCGCAAGACCUUGCGCUGAUUGAGCGGCCGAUGUCAGAUUAGCUAGUUGGUGAGGUAAAGGCUCACCAAGGCGACGAUCUGUAGCGGGUCUGAGAGGAUGAUCCGCCACACUGGAACUGAGACACGGUCCAGACUCCUACGGGAGGCAGCAGUGGGGAAUUUUGGACAAUGGGGGCAACCCUGAUCCAGCCAUGCCGCGUGAGUGAAGAAGGCCUCGGUGUAAGCUCUUCGUCGGACGAAUACGCAU